GACUACCAACACUUUGGGGCGCAACAUGAAGACCCUCACAGUCAACGUCACCAUCUCCACCCUCUGGUAUUCCUCAGACAUGAUCAAAGACUAAGCCACGAUUAACUUCACUGAGAGGGGCCUGCAGAGCCUGCUGGAUCCUUGUUCAAGAACAGCAGCCUGGGCCUCUUCUACUCGAGUUGCAGACUGCUCUCCCUCAGGCCUGAGAAGGAUGGGGCAGCCACCAGUGUGGACGCUGUCUGUACCCACCACGCUGACCCCGUGGGCCACCAUGCCUCUGUGCUGGGAGCCGAGAAU